CCUGCCGUUGCCGGCGACCGGCGCACGGGUGAGUAACACGUAUGCAACCUGCCCGUGGCAGGGGGAUAAGCGGGGGAAACCCCGUCUAAUACCGCGUAACGCGGCCUAGGGACAUCCCAAGGCCGCCAAAGGGAGCAAUCCCGGCCACGGAUGGGCAUGCGGCGCAUUAGCUAGUCGGCGGGGUAACGGCCCACCGAGGCGACGAUGCGUAGGGGUUCUGAGAGGAAGGCCCCCCACACUGGUACUGAGACACGGACCAGACUCCUACGGGAGGCAGCAG
rnacentral:rRNA from 1 species